rnacentral:rRNA from 1 species
UACGUAGGCAGCGAGCGUUGUUCGGAGUUACUGGGCGUAAAGGGUGUGUAGGCGGUUCUUUAAGUUUGGUGUGAAAUCUCCCGGCUCAACCGGGAGGGUGCGCCGAAUACUGAGGGACUAGAGUGCGGGAGAGGAAAGUGGAAUUCCUGGUGUAGCGGUGAAAUGCGUAGAUAUCAGGAGGAACACCGAUAGCGAAGGCAGCUCGCUGGGACGGUACUGACGCUGAGACGCGAAAGCGUGGGGAGCAAACAGG